CUCAGCUGCUUCCAGGCCUGCUGCACCAGGGGCACUUGGAGCUCUGGGGGUGAGCAUGGGGAGGAGAGGAAGGCAGUGGAAGGCAUCCUGUAUGUGGGUAAUCCCUGAACAAUGGAGUGUUUAUAGCAUUGUCUACAGCUGCAAUGCAGGUGUGUGUUCCCUGCUGGACUUUGGCUUUACUGCGGGCCUCAGGCUCGGGAGACUUUUUGGAAUGUGCCCCUUGCCUUCUAGGGCCACCUUUGGCCUCACCUGCUGUUUACCUUCCUCUUGAAGUCCCUUUGCCGCCCCCCCACCCCUUUGGCAGACUGAGCCAGUGCCAGGAAAUUGUUGGUCAAAGGUGAGGUCACUAAGAGCCUAGAAAAACAACAGGUCACCAUUAACCUUGUCUGCCUGCCAGGUGUCUUCUGCUUCACCCAAGCUCCUCCCUCCCUCUCUCUUCUUGGAGAAGAGGUCUUGGCAGAUUUUGGGGGUGUUCCUGGGGUGGAAAAUCCUGUAAGACUGACCAUCUUGAGACAUUCCUCACUACAGUUUCUGACUGUAGACUACAUAGCUAUCUGGUAUUAUCUGACUGCACGGCCACCAGAGUUUAGAUGCUGACCACCCAGUAAGGCCAAAAGAAAGCCGAGAGAAAGAUCGUGUUCAUUUGCCAACAUUUAUCAGAAUCAUACCGGGCGGUGCUGGCCUACACUUUAAUCCCAGCACUCAGGAGGCGAAGGCAGGCGGAUCUCUGUGAGCCAGUCAGGUGGAUAGAGAGUUCAAAGGACAACCAGGGCUAUACUGAGAAACGCUGCCUCGAGAAACCAACCAACAAACCAACAAGAUAACCAUCUUCAUCUCAUAACAGGGCAGUGUGAUGGCUCUGUGGGCACAGAAGCCUCCUCCACCAAGCCUGAAGACCUAGCUUUGACGCUAGGGUCCCCCCAUGUGGAAGGACAGAACUGACUCCACGGGGUUGUUUUCUGACUUCCACACACAUGCGUCCCCCCAAAUGAACUAUAUUAAAGGCCUCGCCAUGUGUUCCAA